GACGUAGGGCGCGAGCGUUGUCCGGAUUUAUUGGGCGUAAAGAGCUCGUAGGCGGCUUGUCGCGUCGACUGUGAAAACCCACGGCUUAACUGUGGGCUUGCAGUCGAUACGGGCAGGCUAGAGUUCGGUAGGGGAGACUGGAAUUCCUGGUGUAGCGGUGAAAUGCGCAGAUAUCAGGAGGAACACCGGUGGCGAAGGCGGGUCUCUGGGCCGAUACUGACGCUGAGGAGCGAAAGCGUGGGGAGCAAACAGG
rnacentral:rRNA from 1 species